GUUUUUGUUUCUUAAGUAAAACUUCCCUAAUCUACUCCCUCUACCCCGCCCCCCAGCCUUCCUCCUCCUUCCUUCCCCCAGUGCCCAUGGUUCUCUGAUAACAGAACUGCAGCCCGGGGUUUGGUCUGCCUCUGCUCCCUAGCCUCAGCUAAGCCUCAUGGAUCUCCCAAAUCAAUAGACUCAUCUCAGAGGCUGAAUUCAGAACAGGCCUCAGACGGAGCCCUUAGGUUCUUUGGGAAAUCUGGGCAACAUUCCAUCACAUUCUCGUCCUCUCUAAACCUCUCCAUCUUGUGCAUAGCUGUCACCCAGCCAAAGACACAAUGGGACAAGCAGGUGCAGGCAGCCUCACUUGGGAGCCCCACCAAGCUGAGCCACUUCUCUGGGGGCUGCAAGAUGGGAAAAGUGCAGAGGAGGGGGCGGGUAAAACCUAGGGGAGUCACAGUUUCCUGCUUCCAGCCCUGGACUGGAAGGGACUGACCUCACUGUGGAGGAAAGUGAAGGGGACUCUGUCUGACCUCACUCUAGAUGGGGCUGGAGGGAUCACCCCUGACCUCAUCGAUGACGGUGUGAAGGGGACGUUCCAAGAUCUCUCUGAGGUGGCGGUAGAGAGGAACACCCCUGAUCAUGCUACAGAGCAGAGUGAGCAGGCUUAGAAGGCUGUGUGAGUCACUGAAUAGUCACCUGUUCUUUGCACUUUGUGCAACAGUGACAGCAAAGACCCAUAAAGAGGUCUCUAGACUUGGACCAGGAGACCUGGUUCUCUCCCUGGCCUCUCUGGACUAUGUACCUCCCCGCUGCUGACUGUUAGCAGAAGACAGGAGAUCAAACCAAUUACUGGGAGCAAGAGACCCUUAAGAGGAAGAAAAACCUUAAGCUGGGUGUCCUUUAAGGGUCACUGGGCCAACACUGUUAAGCCAUCUGUAAGUAUGAACCAACCUGCCUGGCUCAAGAAGGAUCUUCCUACUUCCCGUGAAAAUGCAGCGAGACUUUGCGUCUGAAGAACUAGAUUAUAAAUUCAUCUCUCCUACGUACUGGCUAAGUGACCUAGGGCAGAGCCUUGCUGACCCAUGAGUCCUCAAUGUUAACUUAGGCAAUCAGUUGACUCUUACUACAAACUGCAUGUGCAGUGGGGAGAGGAUAUGCUGUGACCUCAAGGCAAGGGUCAGAGCUCGGAGUGAAUAAGUAACCAUCAGCCUGCAGCAGACACUGGCAUCUUACUAGUUCUGGCUGCCCACAUCUGUGAGCAGGUUCCUCGGAGGGUGGGUCCCUUACACAUCCUAAUGCCAGGUAGAGAUGUGUGGGCUCCCCCACCCCUGACAUCCUACAGUAGUCUCACUAGAUGGACCCAAAAUCUCUUCCUGGGUAGGACACCCAGGAUUAGCACACUCAUUCAACAUUAAGAGGCACUUUUAGCACAUUGCUAGCUCUAGAGCCCAGCUGCACUGAGGAAGGAGAAAGCCCAUGGAGCUGAAAGGCUUCGCCAUUAUCAAUAUGGUGCCGAGGGGCUAAAGAAACUGCAUCCUAGCAGAAUCACGGGGUUUCCUAGGCUAUGUUCAGGACUCACCCUGACUGUGAACCUGACCUGUGUUUCCUCUGAACGCCACACUCUGAAGCCUGUCCUGCCUCCACCCUGCCCCACCUACCCAGAGCGUUGCAGUGAGAGGCUCUUGGGAAGUCUAAGGAAACUACCAGCAAAACAGUAACUUCUUAGGGUGCACAAGUUUCUGAAGAUCUGCUUAGCAACCCCACCAGCCCAUCCAUUUUAUUUUAUUUCCUAAAGCUACAGAUAGGACUUCCCAUGCAAAUGACUCCCAGAUGAGAUGCAAAUUGGAACUUGAAGCUGCCAAGAACCUAUGUGGCUUUUCUUCUCUGUGUCCUUUUAAGAACUGUAAGGGCACUGUGGCACCGUCUCCUGCCUCUCUGCCCUCUGUUCAGAAGAUUCUGCGCCGCUGCUGUGUGCUUCCUGCUGGCAGCCACAGGCAGGGCUCUGCUGGAUCCUACCAGGCAUGGGAUCUGAGCUCGCUGUGGAGAGAGGUUUAAUUGCACUGGCAGAAGCAGGCCCGGGUAGUCAAUGAGCCUGGGGGUGGGGAAAAGUUUCCUCUCAAUGGAGAUGUUCACGCUGGAGUCUUCUCACCCUGUGACCACUAUGCACAGACCAAGUUUGGUGUAGAGUUGCUGCAAGGUACUCUUCAAUGAACAGGCUUUAUUCAGGGGUACUCUUGGGGAGCCUACCGACCUGGGCUCAAAUCCUUCACAAUCACUGGGCAGCUGUGUCAUUUGAAGGAAUGACUGAAAUCUUCUAGGGCUUCCAUGAUAGUACAGUGAUGACAUCAUCCAUGACGAAGACAAUAAUGCCUACUUCCGGAUUCAGAAGAUGGCAAGAAAUCAUUUCUCUAAAGUACAGUGCCCUUUACAGAAGACCUAAUCCACAGGCUACUGCGAUCUUAGCAGAAUGAAACAGAGAGCACCCCACUUCAAGAACCAUGCAUUCUGCAUGUGGGGGUAUAAAGAAAAUGGGAAAACACCAUUCCACAAUCUGUUUGUCACCAGGGCUAGGGCAGGAUGUGCCAAGACCCUGUCUUAAUGAUUUUUUCUCAUUCCAGCUCAUGUUCUUUAGGAACACUAAAUAUAUGAUUCAUCGUGUGAAAACAGAUGCUUAAUGG
rnacentral:lncRNA from 1 species